rnacentral:rRNA from 1 species
GACGAACGCGGGGCGUGCUUAACACAUGCAAGUCGAACGUGAUUUUUGUGGAAAUUCUUUGGGAAGGAAAUGAAAUGAAAGUGGCGAACGGGUGAGUAACACGUGAGCAACCUACCUUACACAGGGGAUAGCCGUUGGGAACGACGAUUAAUACCGCAUGAGACCACAGAAUCGCUGAAUAGGGGUCAAAGAUUAUCGGUGUAAGAAGGGCUCGCGUUGAUUCGCUAGUGGAAGGGUAAAGGCCUACCAAGGCGACGAUCAGUAGCCGGUCUGAGAGGAUGAACGGCCACAUGGAACUGAGACACGGUCCAAACUCCUACGGGAGGCAGCAGUGGGGAAUAUUGCACAAUGGGGGGAACCCUGAUGCAGCGACGCCGCGUGAGCGAAGAAGGUUUUCGAAUCGUAAAGCUUCUGUCCUAUGAGAAGAUAAUGACGGAUCAUAGGAGGAAGCCC